rnacentral:lncRNA from 1 species
AUGAUCUCCAUCACACCAAUAGACUGUAAGUUCCAUUGUGGUUAUGAUUGUUUGGUGGAUAGUGUUGUGUUUAUUUUUCAGUCAUUUUCAGUUGUGUUCAACUAUUUAGGAACCCAUCUGGGGUUUUCUUGGCCAAGUUAUUGGAAUGAUUUCCCAUCUCUGGCUCAUUUUACAAAUGAGCAAACUGAGGAAAACUGGAGUGAGUGCCUUAUCCAGGAUCACACAUCUAGUAACUGUCUGAGGCCAGAUUUGAACUUAGGUCUUUCUGAUGCCAAAUAUUGCCACUUUAUCCACUGUGCCACCUCAUUAUCUCAUUUAAAUAGCCCUAGGACCUAGCACAGUGCCUUGCACCAAGUAAGUAUUUAAUCAGUAUGUUUUGGAUUAAAUUAUAGGUUAUUACUAUAUGUCAAAUCAGUGCUAGGAAUGCCUGUACUUUGAGGUAUGGAUCUUACUCAUUUCAUUCAAUCUUUUAUUGUUAAUGCUUGUGGAUGGAAACUAACUUUGACCUAGCACACAUUGGUCUCUGAGAUUUAUCAACUAAUUCUUGCUUGAAAAGAAGAGGAAGAGGAGUAGAGAUUAGAGAAAUACAGGAAAUAGUCCAGUGAAUGUGAGUUUAUGAAAUGCAGUAGCUGCAGGUAUUCAUUUUCUAUCAUCUCUGCUUUUGCUUUGAAGUCAUAAUCCAUAGAAGAUUAGGGAGACUGAUGAGAAAUCAAAGGAAUUGUUUUUGAAUCUGGGCUCAGCCAUUUACUACCUAUGUAACCUUGGACAAUGCACUAAACAUUUAGGGCUAUUUUGACUCUUGUAGAAUUAGUGGUUUGCAGUAGAUGAUCCUUAGCAUUUUUCAACUUUAAGUCUAUGAUUCUAACAGAUUCCAGUUUUAUCACUCAAUGAGAAGACAAGAGACCUAGGUUAUCUUACCCAUGUGACCUUAAUUAAAUCACCUCAUACCUGUGGGCUUCAGUUUCCCUGCUUAGCAAUUGGAAAAUACCUUUGCCUACCUGUCAGAUGAUUUCGGUGAGAUAAAUUAUUGAAAAAUAUUCAUCUCCGUCUCCUGGUUUCUUUUAAGUCCCAACUAAAACCCCACCUUUUAUAGGAAGCCUCUGCCCAAUCCCUCUUAUUUCUAGUGCCUUCCCUCCAUUAAUUUGUAUAUGGUACAUAGCUUGUUUAUAUACAUUUGUUUAUUUGCUUGUUUCCCCCAUCAGAUAGUGAGUUCCUGAGAGCAGGGACUGUCUGCUGUCUUUCUUUGUAUCCCCCGUGGUUAGCACAGUCUGGCACAGAGUGGGCACCUAAAAAUGUUUAUUGACUCUCUGUGAAGUGAUAUAUGUAUAAAAUAGUAUUUCAUAAUUUCUGAUCCUUAUUUUUGUACUAUUUGUGAAGAAAGACUUUGCUAAGAAAAUCAAUGGUGUAAGUGAACUUAUAAGGGUAAUAUUCAAGGGUUAAGACAAAAAAAUAUUCCUAUACUUGGCAGAAUGUAUGUUCACAUACACAAUGAAUGCAUGAUUACAAAUGAGUCAGCUAGCCGUUAAAGGAGACCCAAUGGGAUUUUUAUUGGCAACAUUCUAUUAGAAACUAUUUUCCUUCCUUUAUGUGUUUGAAAAUAAUAAAUCUCUAUUUUUAAAAACA